GGCCGGUUGGCGCAAUGGUAGCGCGUCAGAUUCCAGAAUGGAAGCUCCUGAAGGUUAUCCGUUCGAUCCGGGUACUGGUCA